rnacentral:lncRNA from 1 species
GUUUUAUUGUAUUAUACACUUUUUUUUUGUGUGUGUCCAAAAUGGAUAAAAAUAGUUUUGAGAUAAACGUCAAUGAAUAAAAAAAAAUUCGAAAGAUUCCAAACGAAAAACGAUAUAUGGUCAUUGCUGCUGUUGCUAUAAAUUGUUUUUUAGGGCGAAGAGUAUGCCUUGGCGAGUCAUUAACCAGAACGGAGUGUUUACCUGUUUGCAACUACACUUGUACAAAGAUUCAAGUUUCUUCCAUCAGAUCCAAAACAUUUGCCUUCAACAGCUGGAAAACUAGGCGUUACGUUGGCUCCAGACGAUUUCUCAUUCCGCGCUGUUGAAGUAUAAUAAUAUAAUAACAGUUGGUAUUCAUAUGUUUUUGCCAUUAACAGAGCUCGAGUAAUAAUGUAAAUGCGUUAUGUAUAUGAUAAAAGUAAAUAUGUAUUCGUUUCUUGCGACCCU